rnacentral:sRNA from 1 species
GAAGUUGCUCAUUCAACUGGUUAUGAUUGCGUUGCUGACUGGCAAAUAUUUUCGCUCAUAACAUCUGGAAUGAUGCCAAAAGAAAGGGUGCCUAUCGUCCACCAGACCGAUAACCGGGCGUGAAAACGAACGUUAUCAAGCAUCGGGCGACACGUUGAGUGAGGCACCGCCUAUUCAGUUACGCGGCCAGAGGGAGCGAUUCUUCUGGCCGCGUGAC